CGUACACUCCUGCGGGAGGCAGCAGUGGGGAAUUUUAGACAAUGGGCGCAAGCCUGAUCCAGCCAUGCCGCGUGCGGGAAGAAGGCCUUCGGGUUGUAAACCGCUUUUGUCAGGGAAGAAAAGGUUCUGGCUAAUACCUGGGACUCAUGACGGUACCUGAAGAAUAAGCACCGGCUAACUACGUGCCAGCAGCCGCGGUAAUACGUAGGGUGCAAGCGUUAAUCGGAAUUACUGGGCGUAAAGCGUGCGCAGGCGGUUAUGCAAGACAGAGGUGAAAUCCCCGGGCUCAACCUGGGAACUGCCUUUGUGACUGCAUGGCUAGAGUACGGUAGAGGGGGAUGGAAUUCCGCGUGUAGCAGUGAAAUGCGUAGAUAUGCGGAGGAACACCGAUGGCGAAGGCAAUCCCCUGGACCUGUGCUGACGCUCAUGCACGAAAGCGUGGGGAGCAAACAGGAUUAGAAACCCGUGUAGUCCC
rnacentral:rRNA from 1 species